rnacentral:lncRNA from 1 species
AAUCAUUUAUUAAGCAUUGCCCUGGCCUAAGACACCACAUGGGUCAUUUCUUCCAGGCUCCAACUUGCUUCUGCUUUGCCAUAUGGUAACACGCCGUAUUAUGGAAGCACCAUCAUUACCGCCAUUUGCAGGGGAAGCCUAAAGAGAUAAAUGCCAGCCAGCAUCCCUGUCUCUGGGGCCCUGGAGAGGCCUUCAACACACCUGGCCUCACUGCCCUGUGGCUUCAACAAAGAGGCCGAGCAUCUCCUAUAAACCUUGAGGUCCAUGGAUGACAUAGCGGAAUGAUGGAUUUCAGAAAAGGCAGGUGCUUCCCACUCUUUAAAUUUUUGUUUAUUCUUUCCAAGUUUCCCAUCAACAGCCCUGCAGUAAAAAUUCAGGGCUUCAGAGACAAAUAUUUCAUGAGUACAGACUGUGAUGAGGAAAAGCAAGCCAUUCCCUCUCUAUCAGGAUCCAGAGCACACUGCUGUUACGACUCCAGAACCGAUAAGGAAGCUAUGUGUGGAAGUAUGAGCUCAGGUCGCCUUCUGACCCUCUGUGACGGUCUAUUUCAGGCAGUUAUGGAUAGAUAACAUUACAGACACUGGUAAUUAAAACAACACUAAUUUUGUCUCUGUGGUCACGCUUUGUUGUUAGAAGCCAUCUAUCAUGGCCUUCACGCAUCACGCAAUGAGAAGACAUUUGUCUACGUACAUUGUGCUUGGUCAACGGUUUUACGGAUUUCCCCGCGUACCUGGACACCCAGGCACUUUUAAAGACGUACUGCCUUCAUUUCUACUCUAUUACUCUGAUUAAUAAAACAUUUUGCAUGCUUCAUCAAAA